rnacentral:rRNA from 1 species
GACGAACGCUGGCGGCGUGCUUAACACAUGCAAGUCGAACGGAAAGGCCCUGCUUGCAGGGUACUCGAGUGGCGAACGGGUGAGUAACACGUGGGUGAUCUGCCCUGCACUUCGGGAUAAGCCUGGGAAACUGGGUCUAAUACCGGAGAGGAGCCAUUUUUAGUGUGAUGGUUGGAAAGUUUUUUCGGUGUAGGAUGAGCUCGCGGCCUAUCAGCUUGUUGGUGGGGUAAUGGCCUACCAAGGCGGCGACGGGUAGCCGGCCUGAGAGGGUGGACGGCCACAUUGGGACUGAGAUACGGCCCAGACUCCUACGGGAGGCAGCAGUGGGGAAUAUUGCACAAUGGGCGCAAGCCUGAUGCAGCGACGCCGCGUGGGGGAUGACGGCCUUCGGGUUGUAAACUCCUUUCGCUAGGGACGAAGCUUUUGUGACGGUACCUAGAUAAGAAGCACCGGCUAACUACGUG